rnacentral:lncRNA from 1 species
GAUGCCUUCUGUCCAUAUGGCCGGUCUUUGCGUGGGCCAUUCUUCAAGGUGCCAUGCCUUGACUGGGUCAACAUGGCCAGUGCCCGUAUGGUGUGUAAAACCCAGUCCUGGAAAGCUGGCUCCCCUGGAGGUGUUGUGCAAUUGGGGCAGCCGGCAGCCAGCUUCUGAUGUGGUUGGCUGCCUGGCUCACACCUCUCAGGUGCUGCGGAGACAGCAAGAUCCAGUGGCCCCAGGCUACCACGGAGGCGGGCAGGGUGCCACGGCCUUCCCGAGCCAUUCUGUUUCCUUUGUCUUCAGGAGCCCAGCGUGCACGGGCCCUGGCUUUCCAGUUCUUCAGGCUGGCUGCCUGGCAUCACAGCGAGGCUUCAGGCGGGCCCACCUGUGGAAUAUAUUGGGUAAGGUUGGCUCGGCCUGGCUUUUGUGAAUUGAUAAAAGGAACUGUGGAUCCAGGGAUUCUUCUUGAAUGUAGAUGUUUCUAGUUCGGUGUCUCCUAUUAGAUAAAAUAAACAUGUAGCACACACAAACUCUUUGUCCAACUACUGUUUUUCUGUUGUUUCCUUGGUUAAUUUGGAUAUUUAUAAAUCUCAAAUGCGGUAGGCCAGGAUGGGAGGUUUUUUCUGUCUAAUGCUAAGAUACUCCACUGAACACCUCUCCUAAGACAUAGCCCUCGUGGCCGGUGUGGUGGCUCACGCCUGUAAUCCCAGCACUUAUGGAGGCUGAAGUGGGUGGAUCACUUGAACCCAGGAGUUAGAGACCAACCUGGGCAACACAGCAAAACCCUGUCUCUACAAGAAAUACAAAAGCUAGCUGUGCACGGUGGUAGGCGUCUGUAGUCCCAGCUACUCAGGAGGCUGAGGUGGGAGGAUCACUUCAGCCCGGGAGGUAGAGGGUACAGUGAGUUGAGAUUGCACCACUGCACUCCAGCUUGAGAGACAGAGUGAGACCCUAUCUCAAAAAAAAAAAAAAAAAA